rnacentral:ncRNA from 1 species
UGUCUUCGGGGCGAGGUGCAAUUCCUCACCGGUGGUCAAAGCCCACGAGCGAUUUUUUUCGCUGAAUUGGUGUAACUCCAAUGCCGACGGUCAAAGUCCGGAUGAAAGAAGAU